rnacentral:misc_RNA from 1 species
UUUCCGUAGGUGAACCUGCGGAAGGAUCAUUAUUGUAUAACCGAGGUGCGAGGGCUGUCGCUGACCCGAAAGGUCGUGCACGCCCGAGUGCCCUCACACACAUCCAUCUCACCCCUAUGUGCACCACCGCGUGGGUCCCCCUUUGGCUUGUUCGGAGGGGGGCUUACGUUUUCACACAAACUUUGUAUGCAGUGUAGAAUGUAAUUUUUGUUUUUGCGAUCACGCAAUCAAUACAACUUUCAACAACGGAUCUCUUGGCUCUCGCAUCGAUGAGAACGCAGC